rnacentral:misc_RNA from 1 species
GAUGAAGAACGUAGCAAAAUGCGAUACUUGGUGUGAAUUGCAGAAUCCCGUGAACCAUCGAGUUUUUGAACGCAAGUUGCGCCCGAAGCCUUUUGGCCGAGGGCACGUCUGCCUUGGCGUCACGCAUCGCGUCGCCCCCCACAAUUCUCCGUAAAGGGAACGUGUGUUUUGGGGGCGGAUAUUGGUCUCCCGUGCUCAUGGCGUGGUUGGCCGAAAUAGGAGUCCUUUCGAUGGACGCACGAACUAGUGGUGGUCGUAAAAACCCUCGUCUUUUGUUUCGUGCUGUUGCUCGCAAGGUAAACUCUUUAAAAACCCCAAUGUGUCGUCUCUUGACGACGCUUCGACCGCGACCCCAGGUCAGGCGGGACUACCCGCUGAGUUUAAGCAUAUCAAUAAGCGGAGGA